rnacentral:rRNA from 1 species
UACGUAGGCAGCAAGCGUUGUUCGGAAUUACUGGGCGUAAAGAGUGUGUAGGCGGUGCUCCAAGUCUGGGGUGAAAUCUCCCGGCUUAACUGGGAGGGUGCAUUAGAAACUGGAAUGCUAGAGGAUGGGAGAGGUAAGCGGAAUUCCUGGUGUAGCGGUGAAAUGCGUAGAUAUCAGGAGGAACACCUGUGGUGUAGACAGCUUACUGGACCAUUUCUGACGCUGAGACACGAAAGCGUGGGGAGCAAACAGG